AUAAAAAAAAUUAUUUUCUUCUUCUUCGGUUCCGUCUCUCUUCUCUCUCUCUCUCUCUUUUGAAGGCUCCAACAACGAAAGCAAAUCCAGAAAGUAUAAUCCGUUGAACUGAGAGGAGAUAUGAGUCAAAAAUUUAUAUCUCGUCGUCGUGUUCAUCAUCUCCACCGAAGCUGACACCAUCAACAAUUUCAGUUCAUCAAAUCAGAACCAUAUCGGUUCACCAAAUCGGAGAUUCAAGUGGUUAAAAUUGGACAGUUUGGUUCAAUGAUGCUCCAGUCUCUUUAUCUGGUAAGAAAAUCUAAGUAUCUCUAUAAUUUCAUUUGUAAUUGAGAUUUUAUGUUAGCAAAAUUAGAGUUCAACGAAUUGGAAAUUGAUGUUAGUAAAAUUAGGGUUCUAUGAUGUUAGCAGAGUGGGAAUUGAGAAUUGAUCUGUUUGUUUGAAUAAUUUGUUUGAGUGACAGAUUGUUUCGUUUUUGAUCCCUAAUUUGAGGUUUUUUGGUUUGAAUAUGAAUCUGAGUUUUUGACAAGAUCAAUGGAUUUGAUCUGUUCUACUGUUUUUGCUGAGGUUUAUUGGAGAAUUUGCAACAAAUUCAAGACAUAUUGAAACAGAGACUUUCUACUGAGGUCAUACAAGGCUGCAUAUAUUGAUGAAGCUGUGAGAUGCAAAUUUCGACUGCAUAAAUGACAAGUUUUGAGAGUGUGUAUCAAGUUAACUUGAGAGUCAAAAUAUUUUGUACAUAUGAUUUUGAUUUUCAAAUUUUCAGUUUUAAGAACUCUACCAUUGGAGUAUGUUUUUUUUUUAAACAGUCAUGAGUUUCUUAGAAUUUGAUUUAGCUAUAUUUCUAUCAAAAAUAUGGUUAAAACUCCA